GCGGUGGCUCCGGUGGACUAUGGAGACGAUUCAAUUUCCAGAGGCUUCCUCAUAAAUUUUUGGAAUUUUUGAGACACAGAUAAACUUCGGGUGAUCGAGGUCAGCUAUUUUUCUGCAUCCAGCAGCCACAAUAGUCAUCGGUGUACUGCCACAGGAGGAGUUAUUUUACAGAGCAACCUGUUUUCUUCCUCGCAGGUUUAACGUCGAUUAUUUAAUUGUUUUACUAUCUUUUCUAAAUUUAAAAUCUAAAACUCCGCAUGUGUUAGUAAUAGUGUGGACCUUGUUAGAAAUUGUGUUAAUUUAAAUUUUUGAGAUUAAUAAAUGAAGAUUUGUAUGGUA